AUUGAACGCUGGCGGCAGGCCUAACACAUGCAAGUCGAGCGGUAGAGAGAAGCUUGCUUCUCUUGAGAGCGGCGGACGGGUGAGUAAUGCCUAGGAAUCUGCCUGGUAGUGGGGGCUAACGUUCGGAAACGGACGCUAAUACCGCAUACGUCCUACGGGAGAAAGCCGGGGACCUUCGGGCCUUGCGCUAUCAGAUGAGCCUAGGUCGGAUUAGCUAGUUGGUGGGGUAAUGGCUCACCAAGGCGACGAUCCGUAACUGGUCUGAGAGGAUGAUCAGUCACACUGGAACUGAGACACGGUCCAGACUCCUACGGGAGGCAGCAGUGGGGAAUAUUGGACAAUGGGCGAAAGCCUGAUCCAGCCAUGCCGCGUGUGUGAAGAAGGUCUUCGGAUUGUAAAGCACUUUAAGUUGGGAGGAAGGGCAGUAAAUUAAUACGUUGCUGUUUUGACGUUACCGACAGAAUAAGCACCGGCUAACUCUGUG
rnacentral:rRNA from 1 species